rnacentral:rRNA from 1 species
ACUCAAAGGAAUAGACGGGGGCCCGCACAAGCGGUGGAGCAUGUUGUUUAAUACGUCACUAACCGUAGAACCUUACCAGGGCUUGACAUCUGACGACCGCUCAUGAAAGUGAGUUUUCCUCGCAAGAGGACGUCAAGACAGGUGUUGCAUGGCUGUCGUCAGCUCGUGUCGUGAGAUGUUGGGUUAAGUCCCGCAACGAGCGCAACCCUCACCCCAUGUUGCCAUCGGGUCAUGCCGGGAACUCUUGGGGAACUGCCUGGGUAACCGGGAGGAAGGUGAGGAUGACGUCAAGUCAGCAUGGCCCUUACGCCCUGGGCUACAAACAUGCUACAAUGGACGGCAGACAGAGGGAUCCGAGACCGCGAGGUGGAGGCAAUCUCAAAAAUCCGUUCCCAGUUCAGAUCGCAGUCUGCAACUCGACUGCGUGAAGUCGGAAUCGCUAGUAACCGCAGAUCAGAUAAGCUGCGGUGAAUACGUUCCCGGGCCUUGUACACACCGCCCGU